UGUACAGCCCCGUGGUGCUGUCGGACCCCCGACCUGACAGCGCCGCGGGGCUCUUCG
rnacentral:sRNA from 1 species